rnacentral:rRNA from 1 species
AAAAUUACUUAAGUGACGGUAUCUAACCAGAAAGGGACGGCUAACUACGUGCCAGCAGCCGCGGUAAUACGUAGGUGGCAAGCGUUGUCCGGAUUUAUUGGGCGUAAAGCGAGCGCAGGCGGUUUCUUAAGUCUGAUGUGAAAGCCUUCGGCUCAACCGAAGAAGUGCAUCGGAAACUGGGAAACUUGAGUGCAGAAGAGGACAGUGGAACUCCAUGUGUAGCGGUGAAAUGCGUAGAUAUAUGGAAGAACACCAGUGGCGAAGGCGGCUGUCUGGUCUGUAACUGACGCUGAGGCUCGAAAGCAUGGGUAGCAAACAGGAUUAGAUACCCCCUGGUAGUCCAUGCCGUAAACGAUGAGUGCUAGGUGUUGGAGGGUUUCCGCCCUUCAGUGCCGCAGCUAACGCAUUAAGCACUCCGCCUGGGGAGUACGACCGCAAGGUUG